rnacentral:rRNA from 1 species
AGAGUUUGAUCAUGGCUCAGGACGAACGCUGGCGGCGUGCCUAAUACAUGCAAGUAGAACGCUGAAGACUGGUGCUUGCACUAGUCAGAUGAGUUGCGAACGGGUGAGUAACGCGUAGGUAACCUACCUCAUAGCGGGGGAUAGCUAUUGGAAACGAUAGCUAAUACCGCAUGACAAUUAAGUACUCAUGUACUAAAUUUAAAAGGAGCAAUUGCUUCACUAUGAGAUGGACCUGCGUUGUAUUAGCUAGUUGGUGAGGUAACGGCUCACCAAGGCCACGAUACAUAGCCGACCUGAGAGGGUGAUCGGCCACACUGGGACUGAGACACGGCCCAGACUCCUACGGGAGGCAGCAGUAGGGAAUCUUCGGCAAUGGGGGCAACCCUGACCGAGCAACGCCGCGUGAGUGAAGAAGGUUUUCGGAUCGUAAAGCUCUGUUGUUAGAGAAGAACGGUAAUGGGAGUGGAAAAUCCAUUACGUGACGGUAACUAACCAGAAAGGGACGGCUAACUACGUGCCAGCAGCCGCGGUAAUACGUAGGUCUCGAGCGUUGUCCGGAUUUAUUGGGCGUAAAGCGAGCGCAGGCGGUUAUUUAAGUCUGAAGUUAAAGGCCGUGGCUCAACCAUGGUUCGCUUUGGAAACUGGAUGACUUGAGUGCAGAAGGGGAGAGUGGAAUUCCAUGUGUAGCGGUGAAAUGCGUAGAUAUAUGGAGGAACACCGGUGGCGAAAGCGGCUCUCUGGUCUGUAACUGACGCUGAGGCUCGAAAGCGUGGGGAGCAAACAGGAUUAGAUACCCUGGUAGUCCACGCCGUAAACGAUGAGUGCUAGGUGUUAGGCCCUUUCCGGGGCUUAGUGCCGCAGCU